CAUACUAUACAGAGAUGCUGUAUGAGAAACCAAUCGUUCUGAGCAUGUCAGUUGGAGUUAUGACAUCAUCGUGUACCAUGGCAAGGGAUCGCCUAGCAUCGAGCAAACGUGAAAAUGGGCGCUACAUCUCGGCUACGUCGUGCGUUUAAAAGCGCUCAGCAGCUGACCUGAUCCCUCAUGCCUGCAGUCGGUGUGAUAAGUUUCAGCUUAGUCUCCAGGGGAUGUUGCGUCCUGUAGCCAGGCCGGCGAUGAGGAUGCCGAUGCCGACGAGGCCGUAGGUGUGAGUGCUCAUCGUGGACACUCUCUGCAUGGACGACUGGGCCAGCUCAGAGAAGCUGUUGAUCUGUGAGUGACAGGUUCAAUACUGUGGUCCAUCGUAAUGACUCGGGAGAACAUAUUGUUAGGAAAUCAAUGAAGAGAGAAUGUAUGCACUAAAA